rnacentral:rRNA from 1 species
CUCAGGACGAACGCUGGCGGCGUGCCUAAUACAUGCAAGUCGAGCGGACAGAUGGGAGCUUGCUCCCUGAUGUUAGCGGCGGACGGGUGAGUAACACGUGGGUAACCUGCCUGUAAGACUGGGAUAACUCCGGGAAACCGGGGCUAAUACCGGAUGGUUGUUUGAACCGCAUGGUUCAGACAUAAAAGGUGGCUUCGGCUACCACUUACAGAUGGACCCGCGGCGCAUUAGCUAGUUGGUGAGGUAACGGCUCACCAAGGCGACGAUGCGUAGCCGACCUGAGAGGGUGAUCGGCCACACUGGGACUGAGACACGGCCCAGACUCCUACGGGAGGCAGCAGUAGGGAAUCUUCCGCAAUGGACGAAAGUC